UUGGAGUCAGGGCCCAAGCUAAGUCCAGGAUAAUCUCAUUUCAAGAUCCUUAAUUUAAUGACAUUUAAAGGUGAUUUCCAGAUAAGGUUAUAUUCAAAUGUACUGCAUUAGGACUAUGGAUAUGUUUGGGUAGACACAAUUCAACCUAGCAUACCUCAAAGGCGUUGUGACCCAGGAGGUGAUUAAGCCCACAGAAGCAACAGGCUCUACGCACCAUAUUCCAACCAUAAACAAAAGGAAACUUCUCAUUCUAACCUCUCAGCAUCAUGAACAUGCACGCUGCCAGCUGAGAUUUCAAGGAUUCAACAAUUCAGACUUGGCUAUGUUGGAAUGAAAUGAGGUUCUUGGAGAAAGGGACUGUGGUCUCUGAGCCCCAGUAGCUUCACCACCCUAACCUUAGCCGAAUCAGCAUAUUUUUUGAUGCCAAAAAAAAAAAAAAAAAAGGAAGGGGCACCAUGUUUAUAGUUGUAGUGCCUGCUACAGCUACUGAAUGAAAAACUUUGCAAGCAUAUCUGGACUGUGCUGACGAUCAGUGAUUGGGAAUGACUGAUGUAGAACAUAAGCUUCAUGAAGACAGAAACUAUCUUCUCCACCAUUGUUUUCAGAUGCUUACAAGCCUCGACUAAAUAGACACGGACAACAUUCUGAAGAAGGAUGGAGCCACAUGAUUGAAGGAAUUUGGGACUCUGAAUGACUAUUUAAGCAGAGUCUUACCUACAAUCCUGAACUGCUCGCCCUUGGUCUACAUGUCAACAAAAUAAUCUUCUGCCUUGAUUGAGUCUCUGUAUAUGUGGGGUUAAGUAGAGCAUUACUAAAUAUUAUACUUCCUAUUCCAAGAUUCCAUAAUUUCAUAUAUACCUGACAGGCCAAACAUCUCAUGUUUCUUCUACAAUGAGUACGGGUUGCCAGUUUUCCCCAAAGUAUACUGUAUGGCUUAAAGCAAGUAUUCUACUUUGUUAUCCUACACAGCUGACAACCAGCAAUAGAAAAUGUUCUCAGGCAAUUGCGCCAAAUACAGUAGUGAAAAAGGUGAGACCAGGAAGCUAAAAAUAUUAUGAUACACAACAUUUUCACCUGGAUAUAUCAUCUGAAGGUGCAUUUUGUUUGGCAUACUGUAAAGACAUCCUCAGUGACAAGACACAAUAUUUGUGAGCCUAUUUCUGGUCAUGUGCAUAGAGUUAAUUAGCAAACUUCCAACUUACCGUGCGUGCAAAUUUCAAAGUUCACAAAGUGGCAAUUUGCCCACAUAAACCUUAUGCAGCUUUCAUUGUUUUGUCAGAUCUGCUUAUUUAAAUGCACAAAUUAAGUCCUAUGUGUUGUACCUACUUAAAAAUAUGGUAGGAUUCCUUGGAAGAAGUGAAAAUUAAAAUGUCAGAAAGAAAAAAGUUUUGCCAUCUUACCCUCAAAGGGUGCCAUGGGAUAAAAGUCAGUUUUGCAAAUGUGUUGGCUACUAGGCCAAAUGUGGCAACAAAAUCUAAUGCUUCCGUUAGAUUCAUCCCACCCCAACUCUCUCUCUCUCGUCCCCAGAUGCCCUGCAAAAAAAGUCUAUGUUUGUUGGGCAUUGAGAACACAUG
rnacentral:lncRNA from 1 species